UCCAGCUUGUAGGCGCCGCUGCUGCCUGCCGGCGACGUGGCGCUCUUGGGCAGCGGCUGCAGCGGGUGCUCGGGCCGCUCGGCCUCCAUGGCGAAGCUGACGGGCCGGAGGAAGCAGAUGUCCAGGCUGGACUCGGAAGAGGCGGGCGAGCAGUUCUCGAAGAGGGCCGGGGCCUGGAACGGCUCCUCGUCGUAGGGCGCGGGCAGCGCGAAGAUCUCGCCGCCGUACUCGAACUCCUCGUAGCCCGCGGGCACGAAGCCGCGGGCGUCGGGCAGGAGCUCGGCCGGGGCGCGCAGGGAGCGCUCCACGUUGCCCAGCGGCUCGGCGGGCGAGGGCUCGAAGUCCAUCUCGGGGAUGGCCUGCAGGGGCCCGGCCAGUGCCUUCACGUCCUGCUCGGCUGCACAGAACUGCGCUGGCGCCAGGAGGCUCUCGGGCCUCUCGUGCUUUCUGCCCUCCAUCUCCCACUCGCUGGGCUUCCCGGGCUGCAUGCUCUCCAUCAAGCUUUGCUGUUGUUGGCUUUUCUUCACUGGGGGCAUCAAAUGUCUGUAAAAAAAGGAAACAGUACAAAAAGAGGUGUGCUUACGGUUGGUUAGUUCAGGCCACUUCCCAAGCAGCGCGAAGCCGGGAGCAACACGGGAGCCAGAUAGCACCUAGGCGCAAAACUGCCAGGUCCUCUCUCUGCCCUCCCAGGCGUCUACGUGUGUCACCGACCAAGCUCCGUAGGCGUCUCCAGCCAGGAAGUCCCCACGAGCCCUGGUCCCCCACAUGGGAGGGUGAAAAUGCUGUCUAUAAAGCGGAUGCCUGAAGUAUCCGUCUGAGCAAGAAGGCUCUGCGCAGAGAUGGCUGGUGAGCCAGGAUGGUCAUCACUCCACAUAUGGAAGCUCUUACCCGCCCACCACGUGUCCAGAGCGCCAAGGUGCCUCCUUUCUCUCCUCUCCCUUUUUUGCCCUAGCAAUAUGAUACAAAAUAAUGGAAAGAACUUUUAUUCGACUCCUGGACCUACACGCUUAAGAACAAUUAUAUUCCUCGAUGAAAUCAGUGUGGUACAAACUUGAAAACUGUUGAAUCUGGAUGAUGAGCCUGGAGUUCCACUCCCCCCUGACUGGGAUUCUCUCCCUCUACUGUACCUUUUGGAGAACGUGUAUGAGCAACUUCCUACAGAUAUACCUGUAACCAAAGGGCAGUACACACACAGAGUCACCUUACCUCCUUCAGAACAACAACAUGAACCAAAGAGAUGCAUUCAGGUAAAUAUCCCUAUGAACUGGAGAACCAAAAUUCAAUAAUCCUGCUUUCAUGAGAGAAAGUGAAAAACCAAUGCAGCGGAGAGGGGUCAUGAAUAAAUCUCCAAGAACUCCUUGGCGUGGCCACUUCAAGACCCUUUCCUGCAGAGCAUGGAGCAAAUCGAGAUGCUGCUGGACAAGAGGAAAUGAAGGGAGGAGAAGUGUCAGAGAAGGACACAGUGGAGAGGAGAGAGAGAAAGAAUCAUGGGAGGAAGAAGGGGGUGGAUGGAGAAGAGUGGGACAAUCAGAGGCCUAUGGGAACAAGGAUGCAAGCUGCAACGAAAUGGAGUCUUGCUGGGCUACAGCAGGGAUCUGAGCCCUAACUUGGCGACUUAUGGGAACUGAAAGUAGGUUCCCUUGUGUUUUGAAGACCACACGUUUAACAAAGAUGAAAGUGCUGGCCUGCUUGUCACCGAGAGCUGAACUUACGUGGAUAUUUCUCCAGGGUCCAACGAGAGUAAGUUAGUGGACAGUUGGUGUGCUUUGUCCACCCUGAACAAGCAGACCUUUGUUGAGAACAGUAGAAAGACCAUCAGUUUGAUAAGAGGUCUUUCAACCCAUCUCCAAGGAAAGCAAAGACUCCCCUGGAGCUAUAGCUCAGAGAAGACACACAGAUUGGAGAGGGUACCCAGCCCCCUGUGAAAAGAUACAAGGCCUCCUUCAUUCCUGCCUUUUCCCCCUCCACCUCCUGUGCCACUGGUCUCCGCAUAUGCAAAGCCAGCUGGUCUGCGCUUCCUGAGCUCUAAUGGCUGGCAUAGUGGGCUUAGGAGAUCUAAGUGAUCCCUGUCUGGAUCAGAGGGAAUUUGGAGGAGUGGCUAGGAGACAGUCUGACUGGGAGGAAACCAUAACAUUGCUGGAGGAAAGCACAACUGAUUGAACUGAACAAGUGAAACACUGUGCCAGCAAAAGGUCUAGAUGUGAAAGAUUUCUCCCCACCCAAGGCUUCCAUGGCUUCCGGUGAUAUUCCUGAUGUGACACUGAAAGCUG